rnacentral:lncRNA from 10 species
CCCACCAGACGUCAUCAGCACCCACCCUCCCAGAUGUGACAAUCAGAAAUGUGUCCAGACAUAUCCAGAUGUCCCUUAUGGGGAAGGGAGAAUCGCCCUGGCUUUGCAGACUCCAGCUGGAACCCCUGCUGCAAGCGAUGGAGGAGCAACAGCUCGGCAAUCUGGAGGCAAGGUGGGAGGUGGAGAAGCACGGAAACGAAGUCUCUGGCUCAACCAGCAGAGAAGUUUGGGAAGAUGCUGAUUUCAUCUGUCCAGUCCUAAAGCAAUGCACUAAUCCAAAAUUAAACGAAAACAAAAAUAUUCACCAGGCAAAGGAGUGUGAAAAAUCCCCAUUUCUGUCUCUCUCUCCUCAUCAGCAGUGGAAACCGGGGCUUCCUAGAAGAAACGAUGCACUCCCCACCUCCCUCUGUUUGUGCUGCAGUGAAAACUGACACGAGAGAUUCAUUGGAACAUGUGCCCUCGUUCCACUCUCAUCAGCCCACCGCAGGGACAGGAGCUGUUCAUCUUUUUGGCUGUGCUCGCAGCCUCCAGAACACUUAUGAGGGGCACCUUGUGGGCGCCGUGGUCGGAUGAGGCCCCUGGGGCUCUUCCAGAGGCUGGCACUCUCUGCAGUUGUCGCUCACAUACCUGCUCAGGCCAGGCCAGGCCAGAGUGGACAAUGUCUUCCCAGCAGGCCAGACCAGUCUCCCAGGAGGCUGAGGCUGCUGUAUCACUCACCAAACCCUCUCAUCUGCCGGCCUGACCCUGUGCUAUGCUGGAAAUAGCACUCGAGCCAGACGCCCUCCCUGACUUGGACAAGGGCAGUGCCCUGGAAGGAGAGGGCACAGAAGCAGCUGUUUACAGAACCUCCGAGGGCUGCAAUGGGGCAAUGGGGUGUGCAGGAGAGUGACCAGGAGCCCGGGGCAGCUGGUGACCCACCCCUCCAGGCAUUCGUGAGGUGUCAGAAGAGGGGGCCCCUUGAACGGGGCCUGCAGAGAUGGCUAAGAGUCCAUCAGGCAGAUGAAAUGAUUUGCUUUCUUCACACUUACCAAGCUUAGAAAUGACCUCCUUCAUGCAUGUGAAUGACUUUAUUCAUGUAUAUGACUCACCUUCCUCAUGCAUGUGAUGAUCUUAUUGUAUGUGACUCACUUUCAUGCACGUGAUGACCUUAUCCAUGUAUGUGACUCACCUUCAUGCAUGUGAUGACCUUAUUCAUGUAGGUGAUUCACCUUCUUCAUGCAUGUGAUGACCCUAUCCAUGUAUGUGAUUCACCUUCUUCAUGCAUGUGAUGACCUUAUUCACGUAUGUGAUUUGCCUUCUUCAUGCAUGUGAUUACCUUAUACAUGUAUAUGACUCACCUUCAUGUAUGUGAUGACCUUAUUCACAUGUGACUCGCCUUCUUCAUGCAUGUGAUGACCUUAUUCACAUGUGACUCGCCUUCAUGCAUGUGACGACCUUAUCCAUGUAUGUGACUCACCUUCUUCAUGCAUGUGAUGACCUUAUCCAUGUAUGCGACUCACCUUCUUCAUGCAUGUGAUGACUUUAUCUAUGAAUGUGACUCAUUGUUUGUCUUCCCAUCCCCCUAAAACAUAAACUCAAUGAGAGC